rnacentral:rRNA from 1 species
UACGAAGGGGGCUAGCGUUGCUCGGAAUCACUGGGCGUAAAGGGUGCGUAGGCGGGUCUUUAAGUCAGGGGUGAAUCCUGGAGCUCAACUCCAGAACUGCCUUUGAUACUGAAGAUCUUGAGUUCGGGAGAGGUGAGUGGAACUGCGAGUGUAGAGGUGAAAUUCGUAGAUAUUCGCAAGAACACCAGUGGCGAAGGCGGCUCACUGGCCCGAGUACUGACGCUGAGGCACGAAAGCGUGGGGAGCAAACAGGG